rnacentral:misc_RNA from 1 species
CCGAGUUUACAACUCCCAAACCCAUGUGAACAUACCUACUGUUGCUUCGGCGGGAUUGCCCCGGGCGCCUCGUGUGCCCCGGAUCAGGCGCCCGUCUAGGAAACUUAACUCUUGUUUUAUUUUGGAAUCUUCUGAGUAGUUUUUACAAAUAAAUAA